rnacentral:snRNA from 1 species
AAAAAGGGCGUGCCAUAAUGCCGUUCUCUAGGGAAUCGGUUGAUAUGGCGGGAGUCUUGGUUUACUCCCGCGGUAUGGCAAUCAAGACAUAUCGAGCGCAUAAUUUUUUGAUUUAGGGUGGCUCGCAAUAGGCUUCGCUCAAGCCGGGGCCACCUU